AUGAACCCCGAUCCCAAACGAAAAGGCCUCUGACACUUAAACCCUACUUUCACAACCUUCGAACAAUGAAGAAUCUAUGCCACAAAUCCUUAACAAGAAAUGCAUGAUUUACCGAAGGAUUAUUACCGGAGGCUUAUAUGUCGUCGGUAAAUGACGUUUUCUGAAGGAUUUAUCGAGGGUCUCUGGAGUAGUAAGUUACCAAAGGAUUUAGACCCUCGAUAAUGGGAAUGUUAAUUAUCGAAGGACUGUGCCUGUCGUUGGUGGUGGUGAGUUGAGGCUUUAAGCUCGUUCGGUGGUCUGAGGAGGACGUUCAUAUCGCUACGAGAGGUUCGGUUGUGCAUUUCUCUCAUCUUCGCUACGAGGGGCUUUCGCUGAAGGCUAUUGGUUGACGGUCCUUGCUGCCUUUUGUGCCACUGUCGAGGAGGGUGUCGUCGAAGGAGGGUGACGACAAUCCUUACAGUGGAGGCUUUGGGUACUGGUUUCACUCAAUUUGCAGAAACUUAGGGUGUAGGCUUUGGGUACUGAUUUUUUGCAUUUGUCUCUGAGGUCAGUUUGCAUAUUAGAGUCACAUGUAUGGAAAAUGUUUUCUGUUGUGAUUUAAGAUAAUAAGUAGUGAAAAAAAUUAUAAUUAAUGUUUCUUUUUAUUAUAAUACUUGGCAUCAUGUAUCCAUUUUUUUUAAAUACUUUAAUUCUUGUGAAAUCAACGUAUAAGAUGGUGUGGUUUUGCACUAGUAUGGUCAGUUCAUGAUGAGUCAUUAGGAUUUGCUUUUGUUUUUGGAUUCAUAGUGUUCGAAUUUGGGUGUUAAUAGAAAUAUACCGGUGAUCGUUUGAACUUUAGUUUGGUUGCUGAGCUAGCAAAAUUUGAAGGUUACAAAGUAGAGACUGUUAUUGUUGGGGAUGAUUGUGCGUUUCCUCCGCCAUGAGGGAUAGUUGGAAGAAGAGGUUUGGCUGGGACUAUUCUGGUUCAUAAGUACUGGGGAAAGUGUGCAAUCGCCCAAAAGAACCGGUCUUCAGAAAGGGGCGGUGUUCUCCAUACAGGUGGAUCAAUCACCGUACAUGAACAAGCCAUGCGUAUGACAGCUGAGUUGGGACGAUCUAUACAUGUUGAUUAAGUUUUCCACCAAACUCAUAUUCGCAAGGGAACUGACCAGUUCGUGGAUGAAAGGUCCCGAAAGACAUGUGAAGAAUUCUCCACAAAACUUUCACGGGUCAGAUCCUCACAUUCUUCAUGUCCUCAGUCAACCCAACCAACAAAUGAUGACGAAGACCUUAUUAGGUCACAAUGUUGGAUUGAUGUUGUUGGUGGAAAGAAAAAAGGAAGAAUCUAUGAGGUAGGGCAACUGGCUACAAAUUACAAUGCAGGUCGUGGUGGUCUAAAGCACCAACCUUCUUCUUCCUCCCAACGUCUUGAUGAGACCGUUCAUGCCAUGACGCAGGAGCUUCAAACACGUGAUCAAGAAUAUAAUGAACUCAAACAAGAGUUUACUAGUUUUAAAGAACUGGUCAUGAGAUUGCUUCCUCAGUCUGUAGUGCCUCCGGCCUCUCAUUCGCAGCCCACACCAGUCCAGCCUACUGAAGUUCAACCCACACAUGUCCAGCCCAUACUAGUCCAAACCCCAUCUGUCCAGUCCCCAUCUGUCCAGCCAACUUUAGAGCCUCAAAACAAUGAACAGGAAGACAAUCAUCAAGCUGAACAUUAUGACGACUAUUAGAUUUUAUGACUUUGCACAUUAUUUACAUUAUUAUUACUUCUUUACCUUCUAAGAACAAUUUUAUAUUUAGUCCUAUAUUGGUUAGUGGAGUUCUGUUUUGUUUA